AGACCCGAAACCCGGUGAUCUAGCCAUGGGCAGGUUGAAGGUUGGGUAACACUAACUGGAGGACCGAACCGACUAAUGUUGAAAAAUUAGCGGAUGACCUGUGGCUGGGGGUGAAAGGCCAAUCAAACCGGGAGAUAGCUGGUUCUCCCCGAAAGCUAUUUAGGUAGCGCCUCGUGAAUUCAUCUCCGGGGGUAGAGCACUGUUUCGGCUAGGGGGCCAUCCCGGCUUACCAACCCGAUGCAAACUGCGAAUACCGGAGAAUGUUAUCACGGGAGACACACGGCGGGUGCUAACGUCCGUCGUGAAGAGGGAAACAACCCAGACCGCCAGCUAAGGUCCCAAAGUCAUGGUUAAGUGGGAAACGAUGUGGGAAGGCCCAGACAGCCAGGAUGUUGGCUUAGAAGCAGCCAUCAUUUAAAGAAAGCGUAAUAGCUCACUGGUCGAGUCGGCCUGCGCGGAAGAUGUAACGGGGCUAAACCAUGCACCGAAGCUGCGGCAGCGACACUGUGUGUUGUUGGGUAGGGGAGCGUUCUGUAAGCCUGCGAAGGUGGCCUGUGAGGGUUGCUGGAGGUAUCAGAAGUGCGAAUGCUGACAUAAGUAACGAUAAAGCGGGUGAAAAGCCCGCUCGCCGGAAGACCAAGGGUUCCUGUCCAACGUUAAUCGGGGCAGGGUGAGUCGACCCCUAAGGCGAGGCCGAAAGGCGUAGUCGAUGGGAAACGGGUUAAUAUUCCCGUACUUGGUGUUACUGCGAAGGGGGGACGGAGAAGGCUAUGUUGGCCGGGCGACGGUUGUCCCGGUUUAAGCGUGUAGGUGUGUG
rnacentral:rRNA from 1 species